rnacentral:pre_miRNA from 1 species
CUACAAAGGAAAGCGCUUUCUGUUGUCUGAAAGAAAAGAAAUCGCUUCCCUUUGGAGUG